rnacentral:rRNA from 1 species
ACGGAGGGUGCGAGCGUUGUCCGGAAUCAUUGGGCGUAAAGGGCGCGUAGGUGGCGGGACAAGCGUGCGGUGAAAGCUCGGGGCUCAACCCCGAGUCGGCCGUGCGAACUGUUUUGCUGGAGCACUGUAGAGGCAGGCGGAAUUCCGGGUGUAGCGGUGGAAUGCGUAGAGAUCCGGAAGAACACCGGUGGCGAAGGCGGCCUGCUGGGCAGUUGCUGACACUGAGGCGCGACAGCGUGGGGAGCAAACAGGAUUAGAUACCCUGGUAGUCCACGCCGUAAACGAUGGGCACUAGGCGCUUGGGGGAGCGACCCCCCGAGGGCCGUAGCUAACGCAUUAAGUGCCCCGCCUGGGGAGUACGGCCGCAAGGCUG